ACGAACGCUGGCGGCGUGCUUAACACAUGCAAGUCGAACGGAAAGGCCCUGCUUUUGUGGGGUGCUCGCGUGGCGAACGGGUGAGUAACACGUGAGUAACCUGCCCUUGACUUUGGGAUAACUUCAGGAAACUGGGGCUAAUACCGGAUAGGAGCUCCUGCUGCAUGGUGGGGGUUUGAAAGUUUCGGCGGGUGGGGAUGGACUCGCGGCUUAUCAGCUUGUUGGUGGGGUAGUGGCUUACCAAGGCUUUGACGGGUAGCCGGCCUGAGAGGGUGACCGGCCACAUUGGGACUGAGAUACGGCCCAGACUCCUACGGGAGGCAGCAGUGGGGAAUAUUGCACAAUGGGCGGAAGCCUGAUGCAGCAACGCCGCGUGCGGGAUGACGGCCUUCGGGUUGUAAACCGCUUUCGCCUGUGACGAAGCGUGAGUGACGGUAAUGGGUAAAGAAGCACCGGCUAACUACGUG
rnacentral:rRNA from 1 species